AGGCGAAACACCCCUUCGGGGGUGUCACCGGAUGAUAUCCGGUCUGAUGAGCCUCAGG
rnacentral:hammerhead_ribozyme from 1 species